rnacentral:rRNA from 1 species
AUGGCGAUCGCGAUCUCGCAGGAGGCCUUCGAUGACAUGGUCCGGGAGAACAUGGAGGACCUCGGAAUGGACCCCGACGAGGCCCUCGCCGACGCCGUCGACGCCCUCACCCUCCAGGGCGCCAACCUCUCCGGGAUCAUCAGGCGCGUACCUGGGGACGCCGCGGCGGAGGAGGUGAAUCCGGUGAUGCGGUUGCUGGACGAGCUGAAGGCCUCCUCCAGCGGCCGGUCGGGGGAGGAUCUUGACAGGCUGGUCUCUUUGCUCGACGAGUUGCUCGAGCUGUGCUCCGGCGAGGGGGCGGAGAAUGCGGCCGUGGCGGCGCGGAACGGUGGCGUGGAGGCGCUCGUCUCCCUGUGCGCUUCGGCUGGGGUUACGCAGGAGGGGCUGCUUGCUUCGGGCUUGAAGGCGCUGAGCUCCCUGAUCCGUGAUGUUGGGAGCACUGAAAAGUUCAGGCAAAGCCAAGGGCCCAAAAUUGUCAUGGAUAUCUUGAAAGGAGCCCUGGAAAAUUCAGAUAUACUGGAUGGUGGUUUUAGUGUCGUGGCAAUGGCAUCUGCUGGCAAUGAAGUUGUGAAAGACGCCUUUAUGGACUUGAAGGUUGACGAACUCAUUCUGGAGGUUAUGAGGAACAAAUCAAAUAGUAAAGUGCAAAGCGUGUAUGAUGCCAUACGUGUUCUGUUGACACCUGACGAUAACCGAGUGGUGGCUUCUCAAGUAUAUGGAUAUUCACGGAAAUUUGCAGAAAUUGGCGUCGCAGAAGUUCUUGUCGUUGCACUCCGCGAGCAAGUUGCUCCAUCCAGCUUACCAUCAGCUUGUGCUGCUUUGAAGGCAAUUGCUGUUAAUGAAGAAAUAUGCCGUUCCAUAUCUGAAAAUGGUGGGAUUGAUGUGCUUCUUAAGUGCAUCGAUGAGGCUGGUGUACAAAAGAACAAGGUUAUAGCAAAAUCUUGCUGCUCUUUGCUGUCUAAGCUGGCUGGAAGUGAUGCAAACAAGGCCAAUAUCAUUCAGCAAGAUGGUUUUGACAAGUUCUUGAAGUUAGCGUCCAGAUUUUCUGAAGACCCGUCAGUAAUACAGGAGGUAAUGUCUAUAGUGCAAGUCCUUACAUUGCGGUCACCAGAACAUGCAGCCCGUGCAGUCGCGCUAGGCUACGGCAAUCUGGCCAUACAGACAAUGCAAAAGUUCCCCUCCUCCGCGCUGACUCAGAAGCAAGCAUGCCUUAUGAUUCGCAAUCUCGUGGUCAGAAACCCUGAAAACAGGACGAUCUUGCUCAACGAAGGUGUGGAGAAGCUGAUCAGGAAAGCCAAGGCAAUACAUGGAAGCUGCAAAGCUGCCGCCACAGAUGCCCUGAGAGACCUGGGCUUGGACAACUACAAUGCGUAG